UUCUAGCCAGGGUAUCCAACGGCUGGGAUUUUGGCUUCUUCCACUGCAACCCUAACAAUCAGGUGGCCGCUCUCUUUCGUGGCCUCCCAUAAUGGGAUUUCUGCGCGACGGCAAAACCAGCGAUUAGGGAGGCGGCAAUGGCGGACGAAGACGAAAGACAACCGAAAGAAGAAGACGAAAGCGAAGAAGGAUAAGUGGGGCGAGCCGCUGUUUGUGGAGACGCAGAAACAGUAGAAGCGCCGCAGAGGAAGUCGGCCCUCGCAGCGGUGGUGGGGUCCUACGAGCCCGACAAGGUGGUGGUAGCGGGAGCUGCGGAUUUCCCUACUCCACCAUCUAAUAGGCAAAUACAGGACCUCUUUAGGGGCAUCGGACCCAUCCACCUGCGGCCUCACGUUCCUCACGUUCCAGAUGGAGGAGAUUGCAACAAAUUCUCUUAAACUUGAUGGAAUCAAAAAUGGGAAAUAGGUUUGUCAAGGUUGAACAAUUGCAGACUAGAUUGCCAGAGAAAGAGGAAGCAUUGAGUUUCUUAGUGAACUCGCGAAGAUUGAUUGAUGCCUCUCAGCAUAUAUUAGCAAUCUCUCUUGCGAUGUGACAAAAGCUGACAUAAGAUAUCCAACUUUGCUUCUGUAGGAUUUGCCUUUGACAGGAGAACAGGGAUAUUCCUGGGCUUUUGUACAUAUUUGAAGAUGAUGAAUCACCGGAGAAAGCUAUGAAGAAAAACCUGGUGCAACUGCAUGGGAGGCCAAUGAAAAGAGCACAUGCAGUUGGCAAUGGGAGCUGAAGCUACGUAGUUGUUCACAAAAGCUCUUCCCAGGCCUGUUCAAAGCUGACAGAUUUCGCAGCACAAAACUGUUAAAUGAUCCAUUUUCUAGACUCCUCCAUGGUAGAAGUCCUUCAAUUUCAAGGGCACAGUCUCGCUUUUGUGGAUGCUGGAUCCAGAUAUAUUGUUGUUGAUGUAUCACACAGUUCCCUACUGUGAAAUCUUAAAUUUACAUAUUUUUUGUUUUGUUAAAUGAAUGAUAGAUAUUCCUUAUCUGAUAGUAACAAAUCAUGGAGCCAGGAAUCUUGGAGCGGAGCAAUAUGCUUUUCUAUAUUAAUCAAGGUGUCUGUUGAACUUUGCCUCCAUCAUCUAUUAAUACAGCAACAUGAUGGACAUCUGUCUCGGUCACGGAUUGUCCUUGGUGAUGGUUUUGGCCUA